rnacentral:rRNA from 1 species
AUGUUUGAUGAGCCAGAUGAAGAUGAGUUGGAGGAGGACAUGGACAUGGGAUACAGUGAGGAUUCAGAUGAUGCAAGGCCAGAUGUGCAGUACAACAGAGAUGAUCCUUCUCUAAAAGAAGGAACUAUAUUUUCCAGUGCUUUAGACUAUAUGAAUGCACUAGCCACUUUCUCAAUAAAGACUCAAAGUGAAUUUGUAAUAGACAAAAGUGAUCCUACCAGGUCGACUGUUCAUUGUGCUUAUAAGAGGUGUAGGUGGAGGAUGCAUGCCUCUUUAAUGAGGCAUAUCACACUUUUUCAGCUUCCAUAA